UACGUAGGUGGCAAGCGUUGUCCGGAUUUACUGGGUGUAAAGGGCGUGUAGGCGGAGCUGCAAGUCAGAUGUGAAAUCCCGGGGCUCAACCCCGGAACUGCAUUUGAAACUGUAGCCCUUGAGUAUCGGAGAGGCAGGCGGAAUUCCUAGUGUAGCGGUGAAAUGCGUAGAUAUUAGGAGGAACACCAGUGGCGAAGGCGACUUUCUGGACAGAAACUGACGUUGAGGCACGAAAGUGUGGGGAGCAAACAGG
rnacentral:rRNA from 1 species